rnacentral:rRNA from 1 species
ACAGUGAAUUUUGGUGGUCAAGCUACUAAGAGCACUAGAUGGAUGCCUNNUAAGCUGCGAUAAGCCGCGGGUAGCUGCAAACAAGCUUUGAUCCGCGGAUUUCCGAAUGGAGCAAUCCGGCAGAGGUAAUGCUCUGUCACCUGAAACUGAAUCCAUAGGUUUCAGGAGCGAUACUCAGGGAAGUGAAACAUCUCAGUACCUGAAGGAGAAGAAAUCAAUCGAGAUUCCGUAAGUAGUGGCGAACGAAAGCGGAAGAGGCUAAACCGGCCGGUUUACCGACCGGGGUUGCGGGACCCUAANNGAACGGUCUGGAAAGUCCGAUCAUAGAAGGUGAAAAUCCUGUAAGCGAAAACCGAAGCGAGUCCAGGGGUAUCCCAAGUAGGACGUCACACGUGAAACGACGCCUGAAUCCGGGGAGACCACUCUCCAAGCCUAAAUACUAGUCAAUGACCGAUAGUGAACAAGUACCGCGAGGGAAAGGUGAAAAAGCACCCUUAUGAAGGGAGUUAAAAGUACCUGAAAUCCAGUGCUUACAAAGUGUGGGAGCGCCGCAAGGUGUGACCGCAUGCCUUUUGCAUAAUGAGCUUGCGACUUACGUUCAGCAGCGAGGUUAAGCCAGUAGGCGAAGCCGAAGCGAAAGCGAGUGUGAACAGCGCGCUAAGUUGCUGGAAGUAGACCCGAAGCUGAGUGAUCUAUCCAUGUCCAGGUUGAAUCUUCGGUAACACGAAGUGGAGGACCGAACCGGUUCAUGUUGAAAAAUGUUCGGAUGAGGUGUGGAUAGGAGCGAAAGACCAAUCAAACUCAGUGAUAGCUGGUUCUCUUCGAAAUAUCUUGAGGGAUAGCCUUGUGCAUAACUACGUGCCGGGGGUAGAGCUCUGAUUGUUCGAGGGUCCUUUACCUGGAUACCAACAACUGUCAAACUCCAAAUACCGGACACGCCUAUCACAGGAGUCAGACUGCGGGGGAUAAGCUUCGUAGUCGAGAGGGCAACAGCCCAGAUCGCCGGCUAAGGUCCCUAAUUCAAGCUAAGUGGAUCGAAGGAUGUGGAGUUGCGUAAACAGUCAGGAUGUUGGCUCAGAGGCAGCCAUCAUUUAAAGAUCGCGUAAUAGCGCACUGAUCGAGUGAUUCCGCGCCGAAGAUAAUCGGGACUAAGCUUNNUCGUAAGAUGAGGUGGACUUCAUACAAGUGACCAUGCAAGCAUGAGUAGCGAAAAACCGGAUGAGAAUUCCGGUCACCGAUAGACUAAGGUUUCCUGGGCCAGGUUCGUCCGCUCAGGGUUAGUCGGGCCUAAGGCGAGGCCGAAAGGCGUAGUCGAUGGACAACUGGUUAAUAUUCCAGUACCGCCUUGUUAUGUGAUGGAAUGANNNNNCCGUACCGCAAACCGACACAGGUAGUCAAGGCGAGAAGCCUGAGGUGCGCGAGUGAAACCACUUUAAGGAACUCGGCAAAUUGACCCCGUAACUUCGGAAGAAGGGGUGCCUCGUAAGAGGUUGCAACAAAGAGGCCGCGGCGACUGUUUAACAAAAACACAGCACUCUGCCAACUCGCAAGAGGAUGUAUAGGGUGUGACACGUGACCAAUGCCCAAAGCUCAAAUGGAUCUGUUAGCGCAAGCGAAGCAGUGAUAUGAAGGCCGGGUGAAUGUCGGCCGUAACUAUAACGGUCCUAAGGUAGCGAAAUUCCUUGUCGGGCAAGUUCCGACCUGCACGAAUCGUGUAACGAUCUGGGCGCUGUCUCAACGAGGAUCUCGGUGAAGUUGUAGUGCCGGUGAAAAUGCCGGAUACCUGCAGUAGGACGGAAAGACCCUGUGAACCUUUACUGUAAUCUGAUAUUGGUAUUCGGGCAAUCAUGUGUAGCAUAGGUGGGAGACUUCGAAGCCGCGGCGCCAGCCCCGGUGGAGUCUUCAGUGAAAUACCACCCUUGGUUGUUUGAAUCUCUAACCUUCUCCCGUCUAUCCGGGUAAGGGACCGUGUCAGAGGGUCAGUUUGACUGGGGCGGUUUCCUCCAAAAUUGUAACGGAGGAGCACGAAGGUACAUUCAGCACGGUUGGCAAUCGUGCUUAGAGCGUAAGGGCAUAAAUGUGCUUGACUGCGAGACUUACAAGUCGAGCAGAUGCGAAAGCAGGUCCUAGUGAUCCAGCGAUGGAACGUGGAAUCGUCGUUGCUCAACGGACAAAAGGUACUCCGGGGAUAACAGGCUGAUAGCGCCCAAGCGUCCAUAGCGACGGCGCUGUUUGGCACCUCGAUGUCGGCUCAUCUCAUCCUGGGGCUGUAGAAGGUCCCAAGGGUCCGGCUGUUCGCCGGUUAAAGAGGUACGCGAGCUGGGUUCAAAACGUCGCAAGACAGUUUGGUCCUUAUCCACUGCGGGCGCAGGACAUUUGACAAGAUCAUUCCUUAGUACGAGAGGACCGGGAAUGACUGACCUCUGGUAUUCCAGUUGUCUCUAAAGAGGCAGCGCUGGGUAGCUACGUCGGGAAAGGAUAAGCGCUGAAAGCAUCUAAGCGCCAAGCCCCCUUGAAGAUGAGAUGUCCCUGGAUCUUUGAUCCCUGAAGACCACUUGAAGACCACAAGUUCGAUAGGAUGCACGUGUAAGGGCAGCAAUGCCUUCAGCUUAGCAUUACUAACCGGUCGUGAGGCUUGACC